UAGUGGCGAACGGGUGAGUAACACGUGGGCAAUCUGCCCUUCACUCUGGGACAAGCCCUGGAAACGGGGUCUAAUACCGGAUAAUACUCCUGCCUGCAUGGGCGGGGGUUGAAAGCUCCGGCGGUGAAGGAUGAGCCCGCGGCCUAUCAGCUUGUUGGUGGGGUAAUGGCCCACCAAGGCGACGACGGGUAGCCGGCCUGAGAGGGCGACCGGCCACACUGGGACUGAGACACGGCCCAGACUCCUACGGGAGGCAGCAGUGGGGAAUAUUGCACAAUGGGCGAAAGCCUGAUGCAGCGACGCCGCGUGAGGGAUGACGGCCUUCGGGUUGUAAACCUCUUUCAGCAGGGAAGAAGCGAAAGUGACGGUACCUGCAGAAGAAGCGCCGGCUAACUACGUGCCAGCAGCCGCGGUAAUACGUAGGGCGCAAGCGUUGUCCGGAAUUAUUGGGCGUAAAGAGCUCGUAGGCGGCUUGUCACGUCGGAUGUGAAAGC
rnacentral:rRNA from 1 species